rnacentral:tRNA from 1 species
UCCCUGGCAGUCCAGUGGUUAAGACCCUGCGCUUCCAUUGCAGGGGACAUAGGUUCAAUCCCUGGCCAGGGAA